rnacentral:rRNA from 1 species
CCUACGGGUGGCAGCAGUGGGGAAUAUUGGGCAAUGGGCGCAAGCCUGACCCAGCAACGCCGCGUGAAGGAAGAAGGCUUUCGGGUUGUAAACUUCUUUUGUCAGGGACGAAGCAAGUGACGGUAUCUGACGAAUAAGCCACGGCUAACCCCGUGCCAGCAGCCGCGGUAAUACGGAGGGUGCGAGUGAUACUCGGAAAUACUGGGCGUAAAGCGCGCGUAGGCGGUAUGUCAAGUCAAGGGUGAAAUCUCCGCGCUCAACGUGGGAACUGCCUUUAAAUCUAGCAAACUGGAGUGUGUGAGAGGAUAGUGGAAUUCCAGGUGUAGGGGUGAAAUCCGUAGAUAUCAGGAGGAACAUCAGUGGCGAAGGCGACUAUCUGGCACGUAACUGACGCUGAGGAGCGAAAGCGUGGGUAGCAAACAGGAUUAGAUACCCCGGUAGUC